UCCCUCAAGCCCAUCUUCUCCUUCCUUCCCUUCUCCUUCUCCUUCCAUAUGACUAAGACCAAGUGGACAUAAUGCAUUCACCUUGCACAUUUCUCCCAGGACUACCUUCCACAGUCAUCUGAAAGAUUUCACUUCUAUCAGCAAGUGUUUGAGGGACAAUGGAGAGGAAGAAGAGGCUAAUACAGAUGUUCUAGGUUCCGUGUUUCUAUCGAUAUGGACAGAAAGCCCCAGCAGCCUGUCAAGUUCCAACAGGAUAUCUUCUUGUAAUUAACAUUGUUCUGGAAAGAAUAGCUAAGGUCAUCAGCCGAGAAAAAGAAUGAUGAUGAACCAUUGGCAUCAGACCCUCUGCGCACCGACUACACUGUUCUUAUGUCAUCAUCAACGGACUGGCUAUCACUUUAGCUAAGGAUUCUUCAUGCCCCAUGGGCUGUGUAACAGGACAAUCUUACCUUCCUUCAACACUUUGCUUUUUUAAAAAA